UUUAGGAAUUUUAAAGCCAGAUGAGAGUGAAAAUGUCCUCGUCCUCUCUGGGACAGGAAAUCUUUUUCCCUACAUAGAAAAGUUACGUUAUUGGAAUUUAUGUCCCUUCUCCAUAAGAAAAAGACAUUAUCUUCUCUUAGAAAUGUCCACCAUGCUAAUUUUAUCUCUUUCUUAUUAUAUUUAACUUUAAACAUCUUGAUCAUUAUAAUUGCUUUGGGUCAUAUCUUCACUGUGAAUAGUCUGUGAGAGAUGACAGUUUUAUUCUUAAUACCCUGUAUAUUAAGAAUCGCCAUGCCUUUUACAUGGUUAGUGUUCAAUCCACAUGUUAAAAUAGUGAAAGACGCAUUACUGAAUUAUCUUAUAUUACUCUUUUUUCAGAAUCAUUCUUUGUAGUGUUAGUGAAAUAUGCCGAAUAUUAAAAUAGGAACCAAUCUUUUUAUAAAAUGCUGCCUCUGCUGUCUCACAAUCCCUAAUGCUACCUCUAAACGAUAGUUAUUAUUCUUUUCUGUCAUAUAAAGAAACAUUGUCAUGCCAAUUGGUUUUUUGCCACUAUAUAUCCAGUGGGAAUCACACAGAGAAUCAAUUCAUUACAAUGACAAAUUACACCAUUAAAUAGUGUAUUAUGCCAGAAUAAUCUGGAAGGUCAUGAAAGAAAGAUUGAGAGAUGACAAGAGAAUCUGCAAUGUGUAAGAAAGUGCAUGAUACAUGAAAAAAUAGGUUGUUGUUUGCUAUCUACAAAUAUGUUAAAUGAAUAUAUAACCCUGUAAAAACUGAAAAAUUACAUACUUAUAAAA
rnacentral:lncRNA from 1 species